CCUGGCUCAGGACGAACGCUGGCGGCGUGCCUAAUACAUGCAAGUCGAACGAACUCUGGUAUUGAUUGGUGCUUGCAUCAUGAUUUACAUUGAGUGAGUGGCGAACUGGUGAGUAACACGUGGGAAACCUGCCCAGAAGCGGGGGAUAACACCUGGAAACAGAUGCUAAUACCGCAUAACAACUUGGACCGCAUGGUCCGAGCUUGAAAGAUGGCUUCGGCUAUCACUUUUGGAUGGUCCCGCGGCGUAUUAGCUAGAUGGUGGGGUAAYGGCUCACCAUGGCAAUGAUACGUAGCCGACCUGAGAGGGUAAUCGGCCACAUUGGGACUGAGACACGGCCCAAACUCCUACGGGAGGCAGCAGUAGGGAAUCUUCCACAAUGGACGAAAGUCUGAUGGAGCAACGCCGCGUGAGUGAAGAAGGGUUUCGGCUCGUAAAACUCUGUUGUUAAAGAAGAACAUAUCUGAGAGUAACUGUUCAGGUAUUGACGGUAUUUAACCAGAAAGCCACGGCUAACUACGUGCCAGCAGCCGCGGUAAUACGUAGGUGGCAAGCGUUGUCCGGAUUUAUUGGGCGUAAAGCGAGCGCAGGCGGUUUUUUAAGUCUGAUGUGAAAGCCUUCGGCUCAACCGAAGAAGUGCAUCGGAAACUGGGAAACUUGAGUGCAGAAGAGGACAGUGGAACUCCAUGUGUAGCGGUGAAAUGCGUAGAUAUAUGGAAGAACACCAGUGGCGAAGGCGGCUGUCUGGUCUGUAACUGACGCUGAGGCUCGAAAGUAUGGGUAGCAAACAGGAUUAGAUACCCUGGUAGUCCAUACCGUAAACGAUGAAUGCUAAGUGUUGGAGGGUUUCCGCCCUUCAGUGCUGCAGCUAACGC
rnacentral:rRNA from 2 species